CCCAGUGGAGCGGAAGGCCGAACCAUCACCAAACCCCAAGCCCGACCGCCCACCUCGCCGGCGCCGGCGAUCGGCCGCCGCCCCCGCCGCCGCAGUAAUCCCUGCCGUAUCCGUACAUUCUACGUGCGGCUCUGGGUCUCUGAUGCGUUCCACCCCAUGGCAUCCCACAUUCCCCUUCCCUGCCGCCGGCUUCCUCCUCCUCGCGCUCUUCGCCGUCGCAUCGGGGGGUCCGGCUCCUAGACCAUGGGGUUUCAAUCGGGGGGAGGCGGACGGCGCGGAGGCGUACUCGAUCCUCACGUUCCACGACUACACGCCGCCCCCGCCCCCCGCGCUGCCGCCGCCGCCGGCCGCCCCGGCGGCGACCUGUGCCGGGGACCUCCGCGGCGUCGGCGACCUCAACACCCAGUGCGUCGUCCAGAAAUCGGUGACGCUGGGAGGCGGGGUGUACAUCAGCGGCAACGGCAGCCUCGUAAUCCUCGGCGGCGUCGCGGUCACCUGCGAGAGGCCCGGGUGCGUCGUCUCUGCCAACCUCUCCGGCGGCAUCCUCCUGGGGCACGGGGCCCGCGUCAGUGCCGGGUGGGUUUCCUUUGCGGCGGCCAACAUCACGCUCGGCGACGACGCCGUCGUCAACACCACCGCGCUCGCCGGCAACCCGCCGGACCAGACCAGCGGUGUGCCCACCGGGACGUAUGGGGAUGGCGGUGGACACGGCGGCCGUGGCGCCAGCUGCUUCGUUAAGGAGGGGCAGGCGCAGGAGGACUCAUGGGGCGGUGAUACCUACGCGUGGUCUGCACUCAAGACCCCAAAUAGCUACGGCAGCAAAGGGGGAUCGACUACCGUCGAGAAGGACUAUGGUGGCGGAGGCGGUGGUGUAGUGUGGUUGUUUGCCAAGGAAAUUUUGUUGAAUGGAACAAUUCUUGCUGAUGGUGGAGAUGGAAGCACCAAGGGUGGGGGUGGCUCUGGGGGCAGCAUCUAUCUGAAGGCCACAACAAUGCGAGGAGGUGGCAAAAUAAGUGCUUGUGGAGGCAAUGGUUUAGCUGGCGGAGGUGGAGGACGUGUCUCCAUUGAUGUUUUCAGCAGGCAUGAUGAUGCCCAAACUUUUGUUCAUGGGGGGAAGAGUUCAGGAUGCUUGGACAAUGCAGGAGCAGCUGGAACUCUUUAUGAAGAAGUACCUAAGAGUAUUACUGUUAGCAAUGAUAACUUGAGCACACAAACUGAUACAGUUUUUCUAGAUCCCCCAUAUGAGCCACUCUGGACGAAUAUUCUUAUCAGAAAUCGUGCCAAAGUUUCUCUUCCCUUACGCUGGAGUCGUAUUCAGGCUCAAGGACAGAUUCUUUUAGCUGGUGCCACUCUAACUUUUGGCCUGACACAUUAUCCGUAUUCCGAAUUUGAGCUGUUGGCUGAAGAACUUCUUAUGAGUGAUUCUACAAUCAAGGUCUUUGGCGCUUUACGAAUGUCAGUAAAAAUGCUCCUUAUGUGGAACUCGAGAAUGACUAUUGAUGGUGGCAGAGAAUCAGGAGUAGCGACUUCCCUACUAGAAGGUAGCAAUUUGAUAGUCCUGAAGGAAGCAUCCGUGAUACAUUCAAAUGCUAAUCUUGGGAUUCAUGGUCAAGGCGUUCUAAAUUUAUCUGGUCAAGGAGAUACUAUAGAGGCACAACGCCUUAUAUUAUCGCUGUUUUACAACAUAUUGGUUGGACCUGGAGCUGUUCUAAGGGGACCUCUUAUAAAUGGAAGUAGUGGCGACAUGGCACCAAAGCUGAACUGUGAAGAUGAGAGUUGCCCUAUGGAAAUUUUUCAUCCACCUGAGGAUUGCAACUUGAACUCUUCAUUGUCUUUUACUUUACAGAUAUGCCGCGUUGAAGAUAUUGAUGUUUCCGGCCUUGUGCAAGGAACUGUCAUUAAUUUUAACCGAGCAAGAAGUGUCACUGUGGAGACAUCUGGGACCAUAAGUGCAACAGGAUUAGGUUGCCAGGGUGGAAUUGGACAGGGGAAAGCUAUAAGCAGUGGGAUUAGUGGUGGGGGUGGGCAUGGCGGUAAAGGCGGUGAUGGCAGUUAUAGUGGCGAUCAUGCAGAGGGUGGACCUGCAUAUGGUCAUGCUGAUUUACCUUGUGAACUUGGCAGUGGCAGCGGCAAUGUCAGUGCAUCUUCAACAGCUGGUGGUGGUAUAAUAGUGAUGGGUUCUUUGGAGCAAUCUCUGCCUAUCCUCUCCCUUUCUGGCUCAAUUGAGGCAAAUGGUGGUAGUUUUAAUGGUGUGGCAUCUCAUGCCACAAUUGGAGGACCAGGUGGUGGUUCUGGGGGUACAAUUCUUCUUUUUGUGCGGACUUUACUCCUAAAGAAGGACUCUGUACUCUCUAGUGUUGGUGGGAUUGGAAGCAAUGGCAGUGGUGGAGGUGGAGGGGGUCGGAUUCACUUUCACUGGUCCGAUAUUCCCACUGGAGAUGAUUAUGUUCCUUUUGCAACAGUUAAGGGAACAAUAAUUACAAGAGGAGGAGUCAGUGAAGGCCAUGGUUUUCCUGGUGAGAAUGGAACAGUCACAGGAAAGGAUUGCCCAAAAGGUCUUUAUGGAACAUUUUGCAAGGAAUGUCCUUCAGGAACAUAUAAGAACAUUACUGGAUCAUCUAAGUCCUUGUGCUCACCAUGCCCUCCAAAUGAGCUACCUCACCGUGCUGUAUACAUAAGCAUCCGAGGAGGUGUUGCUGAAACCCCAUGCCCAUACAAAUGUGUGUCAGAUAGAUAUCACAUGCCUCACUGUUUUACUGCUCUUGAAGAGCUGAUAUAUACAUUUGGUGGACCUUGGUUGUUUGGCCUGCUUCUUUCUGGACUUCUUGUUUUGUUAGCUCUUGUUUUGAGUAUUGCUCGGAUGAAGUUUGUUGGUAAUGAUGAGUUACCUGGGCCAGCACCGACUCAGCACAGCUCCCAAAUUGAUCACUCUUUUCCCUUCCUUGAAUCACUAAACGAGGUAUUGGAAACAAACAGAGCAGAAGAAUCUCACUGUCAUGUGCACAGGAUGUAUUUCAUGGGUCCAAACACCUUCAGUGAACCUUGGCAUCUCCCACACACCCCACCAGAGCAAAUUUCAGAGAUUGUGUAUGAGGAUGCAUUUAACAAAUUUGUUGAUGAGAUAAAUGCUCUUGCAGCCUAUCAAUGGUGGGAGGGUUCAAUUUAUAGUAUUCUCUGUAUACUUUCAUAUCCCAUGGCAUGGUCCUGGCAACAGUGGCGCAGGAGAAUGAAAUUACAAAAACUACGUGAAUUUGUUCGAUCUGAAUACGAUCAUUCAUGCUUGCGGUCCUGUCGUUCACGGGCACUUUAUGAAGGGCUGAAGGUAGCUGCUACUCCAGAUUUAAUGCUGGGUUAUUUAGAUUUCUUCCUUGGUGGGGAUGAGAAAAGGACUGAUCUUCCCCCUCGACUUCAUCAAAGGUUUCCAAUGUCCCUUAUCUUUGGAGGUGAUGGAAGUUAUAUGGCUCCAUUUUCACUUCAUAGUGACAGAGUGGUUACAAGUCUUAUAAGUCAGGCUGUACCAUCGUCAAUAUGGCAUCGUCUUGUAGCCGGAUUGAAUGCCCAGUUGCGUUUGGUUCGUCGUGGAAAUAUAAAUGCAACAUUUCUUCCUGUACUCAAAUGGCUUGAAACUCAUGCAAAUCCUGCGUUGAACGCUUACCGGGUGCGUGUUGACCUUGCAUGGUUCCAAACUACAGCAUUAGGUUACUGUCAGUUUGGUCUUGUUCUUCAUGCUCUGGGGGAAGAGGUGGCUGCUGAACUUCAAGGUGGCUCUUUAAUUAAAACCGAUCAGCAUUCAGUAAGCCAGAAUACAUAUGAUGAUUCUCGAUUGGGACACUCAAUGUCCAGCGAUGCUCUUUUGCGUAAAAGGAUAACUGGCACCAUUCUCAAUGUUGAAAACUUAAAGAUGCUCAAAGACAGGAGAGAUUUGUUUUAUCCUCUCUCUCUUAUCUUGCACAAUACAAAACCAGUUGGACAUCAGGACCUCGUUGGCCUAGUCAUCUCAAUAUUGCUUCUUGCAGAUUUCAGCUUAAUCUUGCUAACUUUCCUCCAACUAUAUUCAUAUUCUAUGGUUGAUGUUUUGUUAGUCUUGUUUAUUCUUCCUCUUGGGAUACUGGCACCGUUUCCUGCUGGGAUAAAUGCUCUUUUUAGUCAUGGACCGCGGCGGUCAGCUGGCCUUGCUCGUGUGUAUGCCUUGUGGAAUAUUACAUCACUGGCUAAUGUUAUCGUGGCUUUUGUAUGUGGAAUUCUGCAUUAUAAGUCAUCAAACAAGAAACAUCCAAGCAUGCAGCCAUGGAAUUUUGGCGGGGAUGAAACCAGCUGGUGGCUAUUCCCAAUAGGACUUGUGCUAUGCAAAUGCAUUCAAGCUAGGCUUGUGGAUUGGCAUGUAUCUAUCUUAGAGAUCCAGGACCGUGCAGUUUAUAGCAAUAACCCAACAAUAUUUUGGCAGUGACAGCAUUUUGGAUCACAGAAGUGGCUCAGGAUGGGAGCUUCACAACUCAAGUUUUUUGGGAGUUGAUAAAAAGAAGGCUAGGGAGAGUCCGUUCUUUGUCGGCCAGUCAGGGGAAGCAUGUACAAAGUAGAAUGCUUACAGAUGCCUGCCAUUGACUUAUAGUGCAUCCUUGACCUUUUGUCCAGUCGAGACCCAACUUUGUUUACCUUGUACAUAGGAAAAGGGUUUAGUUGAUCCAUUCAUUGUAUGAUUUAGGAUUUAGACACCACAGGAUUAUAUAUUUACCUAAGCUAAUCUCCAAUAGAUAGUGGGAAAUAUCUCUCCUUUUUUUUUGUUGAAAGCGCUCUCGGGGUCGUUUACAUAACUGUCAGGUUGGCGCGCUAUGCGCGCCAAUAUCAAAAAGUUGAUCUAAAA